UUACAUCAAUUAAUUUCUUUACAUAAUAUCAUAUAUAAUAUAUUUUAACAAAAUUUACCAUUUGAUUUAUUAUUACUCUUUUCUCCCCACCAAUUCAACCCUACGAAAACACAAACAUGUUCCAAUGAUAUCCAAACUUUCCCUCAUUCUUGCUAGUGACACAUCUUUACUAGCAUCCAUAUAACUACGAGAAAAACGAAGAGAAAAGACGUUAAGGAUGAGAGAGAAAAAUCUCAAAUUCAAUAUUAAGUAUAAGUCAUUGAUUAAAAUAGAAAAUAAAAAUAUACUUAUCACCCAAACAUAAUUUCACCUAAUAAAUUUUUUUCAUGUCUUAUGGUGAAGCUUCACAAUUCACAAUAGAUUGUUUCUUCUUGUACUUCAAAUCAUUUAUCUCUAAUUUUUUUUAAAAAUUUUAAAACUAUCUUUUUAAAAUUCAAAAAAUUUUGUACUUUUUUUUCAACAAAUUUCAAAAUUCGUUAAAAAAAAAUCACGUCUUUUAAAAUCAUUUUUGGAAAUUGGAGAUACAAAAUAAAAUGGUUAGAAAUAUAUGAAAAAACAAUCCUCUAAAUAUAAAUGACUAAUGAGACCAAUAGAUUGGACCAGUAGUACUAAGCCCAGAUGUAGAUAUAUAUAGGCCUAAUAUUUCUUUGGGAUAAAAAAUUUUACAACCCCACAUGGUGCAAAUGUAGUCCUCUUUAAGCUUUGAAG
rnacentral:lncRNA from 1 species